rnacentral:rRNA from 1 species
CAGCAGCCACGGUAAUACGUAGGUGGCAAGCGUUGUCCGGAAUUAUUGGGCGUAAAGCGCGCGCAGGCGGAUAGGUCAGUCUGUCUUAAAAGUUCGGGGCUUAACCCCGUGAUGGGAUGGAAACUGCCAAUCUAGAGUAUCGGAGAGGAAAGUGGAAUUCCUAGUGUAGCGGUGAAAUGCGUAGAUAUUAGGAAGAACACCAGUGGCGAAGGCGACUUUCUGGACGAAAACUGACGCUGAGGCGCGAAAGCCAGGGGAGCGAACGGGAUUAGAUACCCGGGUAGUCCCUGUCUCUUAUACA